GACGAACGCUGGCGGCGUGCUUAACACAUGCAAGUCGAACGGAAAGGCCCUGCUUUUGUGGGGUGCUCGAGUGGCGAACGGUUGAGUAACACGUGAGUAACCUGCCCUUGACUUUGGGAUAACUUCAGGAAACUGGGGCUAAUACCGGAUAGGAGCUCCUGCUGCAUGGUGGGGGUUGUAAAGUUUCGGCGGUUGGGGAUGGACUCGCGGCUUAUCAGCUUGUUGGUGGGGUAGUGGCUUACCAAGGCUUUGACGGGUAGCCGGCCUGAGAGGGUGACCGGCCACAUUGGGACUGAGAUACGGCCCAGACUCCUACGGGAGGCAGCAGUGGGGAAUAUUGCACAAUGGGCGGAAGCCUGAUGCAGCAACGCCGCGUGCGGGAUGACGGCCUUCGGGUUGUAAACCGCUUUCGCCUGUGACGAAGCGUGAGUGACGGUAAUGGGUAAAGAAGCACCGGCUAACUACGUG
rnacentral:rRNA from 1 species